rnacentral:rRNA from 1 species
AYCUGCAUCCCUAGUAGCGGCGAGCGAAGCGGGAAGAGCUCAAAUUUAUAAUCUGGCACCUUCGGUGUCCGAGUUGUAAUCUCUAGAAAUGUUUUCCGCGCUGGACCGCACACAAGUCUGUUGGAAUACAGCGGCAUAGUGGUGAGACCCCCGUAUAUGGUGCGGAUGCCCAGCGCUUUGUGAUACAUUUUCGAAGAGUCGAGUUGUUUGGGAAUGCAGCUCAAAUUGGGUGGUAAAUUCCAUCUAAAGCUAAAUAUUGGCGAGAGACCGAUAGCGAACAAGUACCGUGAGGGAAAGAUGAAAAGCACUUUGGAAAGAGAGUUAACAGUACGUGAAAUUGUUGGAAGGGAAACGCUUGAAGUCAGACUUGCUUGCCGAGCAAUCGGUUUGCAGGCCAGCAUCAKUUUUCCGGGAUGGAUAAUGGUAGAGAGAAGGUAGCAGUUUCGGCUGUGUUAUAGCUCUCUACUGGAUACAUCUUGGGGGACUGAGGAACGCAGUGUGCCUUACGGCGGGGGUUUCGACCUCUUCACACUUAGGAUGCUGGUGGAAUGGCUUUAAACGACCCGUCUUGAAAMMACGGAACA